rnacentral:tRNA from 1 species
UGUCUAGGGAUGGGAAUCGAACCCACAAUGUUCCGCUUACCGGGCAGAUGCCAUGUCCACUAGGCUACCCUGGAC